GGGCGUUAAGUUGCAGGGUAUAGACCCGAAACCCGGUGAUCUAGCCAUGGGCAGGUUGAAGGUUGGGUAACACUAACUGGAGGACCGAACCGACUAAUGUUGAAAAAUUAGCGGAUGACCUGUGGCUGGGGGUGAAAGGCCAAUCAAACCGGGAGAUAGCUGGUUCUCCCCGAAAGCUAUUUAGGUAGCGCCUCGUGAACUCAUCUCCGGGGGUAGAGCACUGUUUCGGCUAGGGGGCCAUCCCGGCUUACCAACCCGAUGCAAACUGCGAAUACCGGAGAAUGUUAUCACGGGAGACACACGGCGGGUGCUAACGUCCGUCGUGAAGAGGGAAACAACCCAGACCGCCAGCUAAGGUCCCAAAGUCAUGGUUAAGUGGGAAACGAUGUGGGAAGGCCCAGACAGCCAGGAUGUUGGCUUAGAAGCAGCCAUCAUUUAAAGAAAGCGUAAUAGCUCACUGGUCGAGUCGGCCUGCGCGGAAGAUGUAACGGGGCUAAACCAUGCACCGAAGCUGCGGCAGCGACACUGUGUGUUGUUGGGUAGGGGAGCGUUCUGUAAGCCGUUGAAGGUGUGUCGUGAGGCAUGCUGGAGGUAUCAGAAGUGCGAAUGCUGACAUAAGUAACGAUAAAGCGGGUGAAAAGCCCGCUCGCCGGAAGACCAAGGGUUCCUGUCCAACGUUAAUCGGGGCAGGGUGAGUCGACCCCUAAGGCGAGGCCGAAAGGCGUAGUCGAUGGGAAACGGGUUAAUAUUCCCGUACUUGGUGUUACUGCGAAGGGGGGACGGAGAAGGCUAUGUUGGCCGGGCGACGGUAGUCCCGGUUUAAGCGUGUAGGUGUGUGUUCCAGGUAAAUCCGGUUCACUUUAACACUGAGGCGUGAUGACGAGGCACCACGGUGCUGAAGCAACAAAUGCCCUGCUUCCAGGAAAAGCCUCUAAGCAUCAGGUAACAUCAAAUCGUACCCCAAACCGACACAGGUGGUCAGGUAGAGAAUACCAAGGCGCUUGAGAGAACUCGGGUGAAGGAACUAGGCAAAAUGGUGCCGUAACUUCGGGAGAAGGCACGCUGACACGUAGGUGAAGUGAUUUACUCAUGGAGCUGAAGUCAGUCGAAGAUACCAGCUGGCUGCAACUGUUUAUUAAAAACACAGCACUGUGCAAACACGAAAGUGGACGUAUACGGUGUGACGCCUGCCCGGUGCCGGAAGGUUAAUUGAUGGGGUCAGCGCAAGCGAAGCUCCUGAUCGAAGCCCCGGUAAACGGCGGCCGUAACUAUAACGGUCCUAAGGUAGCGAAAUUCCUUGUCGGGUAAGUUCCGACCUGCACGAAUGGCGUAAUGAUGGCCAGGCUGUCUCCACCCGAGACUCAGUGAAAUUGAACUCGCUGUGAAGAUGCAGUGUACCCGCGGCAAGACGGAAAGACCCCGUGAACCUUUACUAUAGCUUGACACUGAACAUUGAGCCUUGAUGUGUAGGAUAGGUGGGAGGCUUUGAAGCGUGGACGCCAGUCUGCGUGGAGCCGACCUUGAAAUACCACCCUUUAAUGUUUGAUGUUCUAACGUGGACCCGUAAUCCGGGUUGCGGACAGUGUCUGGUGGGUAGUUUGACUGGGGCGGUCUCCUCCUAAAGAGUAACGGAGGAGCACGAAGGUUGGCUAAUCCUGGUCGGACAUCAGGAGGUUAGUGCAAUGGCAUAAGCCAGCUUGACUGCGAGCGUGACGGCGCGAGCAGGUGCGAAAGCAGGUCAUAGUGAUCCGGUGGUUCUGAAUGGAAGGGCCAUCGCUCAACGGAUAAAAGGUACUCCGGGGAUAACAGGCUGAUACCGCCCAAGAGUUCAUAUCGACGGCGGUGUUUGGCACCUCGAUGUCGGCUCAUCACAUCCUGGGGCUGAAGUAGGUCCCAAGGGUAUGGCUGUUCGCCAUUUAAAGUGGUACGCGAGCUGGGUUUAGAACGUCGUGAGACAGUUCGGUCCCUAUCUGCCGUGGGCGCUGGAAGACUGAGGGGGGCUGCUCCUAGUACGAGAGGACCGGAGUGGACGCAUCACUGGUGUUCGGGUUGUCAUGCCAAUGGCACUGCCCGGUAGCUAAAUGCGGAAAAGAUAAGUGCUGAAAGCAUCUAAGCACGAAACUUGCCCCGAGAUGAGUCUUCCCUGAGACUUUGAGUCUCCUGAAGGAACGUUAAAGACGAUGACGUUGAUAGGCCGGGUGUGUAAGCGCAGCGAUGCGUUGAGCUAACCGGUACUAAUGAACCGUGAGGCUUAACCUUACAACGCCGAAGCUGUU
rnacentral:rRNA from 1 species